CAGAUAGCUCAGUCGGUAGAGCAGAGGACUGAAAAUCCUCGUGUCGGUGGUUCGAUUCCGCCUCUGGG
rnacentral:tRNA from 10 species